CUUCUUUGUACGACCCAAGCUCUGUGCCUUCUCUGGCCUCUAUUACUGUGACAUCUGCCACCAAGAUGAUGCCUCAGUGAUUCUGGCCAGGAUCAUCCACAGCUGGGACCUCACCAAGCACCUGCAAUUCAUGGCUCUGAAGGAGCGCAUUGGCUGGAGAUACAGCCUCCUCUUCGUGGGCCUACUACAGUUAAACAUUGUCGUCUUCGGAGCACUGCUCAGACCCAUCAUCAUCAGAGGACCAGCGUCACCAAAAAUAGUCAUCCAGGAAAAUCGGAAAGAAGCACAGUAUAUGCUUGAAAAUGAGAAAACACGAACCUCAAUAGACUCCAUUGACUCAGGAGUAGAACUAACUACCUCACCUAAAAAUGUGCCUACUCACACUAACCCAGAACUGGAGCCGAAGGCAGACCUGCAGCAGGUCCUGGUGAAGACCAGCCCCAGGCCAAGCAAAAAGAAAGCCCCGCUAUUAGACUUCUCCAUUUUGAAAGAGAAAAGUUUUAUUUGUUAUGCAUUAUUUGGUCUCCUUGCGACACUGUGAUUCUUUGCACCUUCCUUGUACAUCAUUCCUCUGGGCAUUAGUCUGGGCAUUGACCAGGACAGCGCUGCUUUUUUAUUAUCUACA
rnacentral:lncRNA from 1 species